UGNNUGGNNUCUGCUCAGUAACAUGUGGGAACGACUGCUAAUACCGGAUGUGCCGAAAGGUAAAAGGCUUGCUGCCUGAAGAUGAGCUCGCGUCUGAUUAGCUAGUUGGUGUGGUAAGAGCGCACCAAGGCGACGAUCAGUAGCUGGUCUGAGAGGAUGAUCAGCCACACUGGGACUGAGACACGGCCCAGACUCCUACGGGAGGCAGCAGUGGGGAAUUUUCCGCAAUGGGCGAAAGCCUGACGGAGCAAUACCGCGUGAGGGAGGAAGGCUCUUGGGUUGUAAACCUCUUUUCUCAAGGAAUAAUUUCUGAAGGUACUUGAGGAAUCACCUUCGGCUAAUUCCGGGCCACCACCCGCGGUAAUACGGAGGAUGCAAGCGUUUUCCGGAAUAAUUGGGCGUAAAGCGCCCCCAGGGGGCCCUGUAAUUCUGCUGUUAAAAAGCAAAGUUUAAUUUUGUAAAACCAGGGGAAACUACAAAGCUAGAGGGCGUUCGGGGUAAAGGGAAUUCCGGGGGUACCGGUGAAUUGCUUAAAGAUCAGGAAAAACACCGGUGGCAAAGGCCCUCUACUAGGCCGCACCUGACCCUGAGGGACAAAGGCUAGGGAAGCGAAUGGAAUUAAUCCCCCCCUUAAAAUUCNNNGGGGUUUUUUAUAUAACCCCGAAAUUAUGGCUUUUUCCCCCCCUCGUUGUGAAGCUAGCUGGAAACAUACCAGGGGGCUUAC
rnacentral:rRNA from 1 species